AUGUACUUCUAUGUACAUUCCGGUUCCUGCGCGCUGGCCGCGUCCAACCUGGCUGCGCUCGCUACGAUUUCCAGGGG
rnacentral:sRNA from 1 species